rnacentral:tRNA from 1 species
UCCUAAUUAGCUCAGUUGGUAGAGCGCUUCACUUGAAACGGAGAGGUGCUGGUUCAAUACCAGGACCAGGGG